rnacentral:lncRNA from 1 species
CAGAUUUCUAAUGUUUAGUUUCUGUGUUGGGUAGCCCCAUGUCCAGAUGACAUAGAGAUGCAUUUAAAGCCUUCAGCUGUUGGGCUGAGGGCAGAACCCAGAAGCAGAGCAACUUGCCUACCUGGUAGGAUUUCCAGUACUGCAAAACGAAAACUCUUAAGGUCCCUCAUCUGUCCCCAGAAGAGCACCUUAUAUCAGCAAGCGGACCCCUGGCACCUGCCAUUGCAGCUUCCAUUGUGCAGCCACAUGUCCCCACCACGACUACCUAGCUCCAAUGUCACAUGGCCUGCAAAAAGGAUCUACCAUUGGAGCCAAAGCUCACCCCACUGGAGCACUAAUGUUGAGCAAAUUGGCUUUCGAAUCAUUCGUUUUCUUCACCAGGAGGGACAAGCUAUCAAUAGACACCUGGGACACGAUUCAGUCUGUUGUAACUGCAACCCUGAGCCAGAAGGAGCGUGCAGAGAACUUCCCUCCCUAGCUCCAUUUCUACACAAACGAUUUACUGUAACUCUUCUACAGUGCUUACACAACAAAUAAAGGUAGCACCGGAGACCGUGG